rnacentral:rRNA from 1 species
CCUACGGGGGGCAGCAGUAAGGAAUAUUGGUCAAUGGAGGAAACUCUGAACCAGCCAUCCCGCGUGAAGGAUGAAGGGGCUCUGCCUUGUAAACUUCUUUUGUCUGGGGCGAAAAAGCUCGAUUUAUCGAGAACUGACGGUACCAGAAGAAUAAGCACCGGCUAACUCCGUGCCAGCCGCCGCGGUAAUACGGAGGGUGAAGGCGUUAUCCGGAAUCACUGGUGCUAAGGGUUGCUUAGAAGUCUGGGGUGAAAGGCUGUGGCUUAACCAUGGAAUUGCCAUUGAUACUGCAGAGCUUGAAUGAGGUUGAGGUUGGCGGAAGGUGACAUGUAGCGGUGAAAUGCUUAGAUAUGUCAUGGAACACCGAUUGCGAAGGCAGCUGACUGGACCUAUAUUGACGCUGAGGCACGAAAGCGUGGGGAGCGAACAGGAUUAGAUACCCCGGUAGUC